ANGNGGGNUUUNCACAACUCCAACCCAUGCUGAACUUACCUAUGUUGCCUCGGCGGGGAAGCCUACCCUGAUACCUACCCUGUAGUUACCCUGUAGGCCUACCCACCAGAGGACUUCUAAACUCUGUUUUUAUAUGAAACUUCUGAGUGUUUAAACUUAAUAGUUAAAACUUUCAACAACGGAUCUCUUGGUUCUGGCAUCGAUGAAGAACGCAGCGAAAUGCGAUAAGUAAUGUGAAUUGCAGAAUUCAGUGAAUCAUCGAAUCUUUGAACGCACAUUGCGCCCAUUAGUAUUCUAGUGGGCAUGCCUGUUCGAGCGUCAUUUCAACCAUCAAGCCCUAUUUGCUUGGCGUUGGGAGCUUACCCUGCACUUGCGGGAUAACUCCUUAAAUAUAUUGGCGGAGUCGCGAAGACCCCAAGCGUAGUAAUUCUUUCUCGCUUUAGGUGUUGACGCUGGCAUCCAGCCACUAAACCCCCAAUUUUAUAGGUUUGACCUCGGAUCAGGUAGGAAUACCCGCUGAACUUAA
rnacentral:rRNA from 1 species